rnacentral:lncRNA from 1 species
CUUUCUCAGACAUCUCAAUGAGUCCAUCCGGUGGCCUCAUGGAAACUAAGCGUUUGAACAGCGCCAUCAAUGUCUUGGAACCAAAAUUGUUGAAGAUAUAAUCCCUAGAUCGAUCUCCAUUCUGGCGAUUUCCAUUUCCAAUUAACACCUGCUAAACUUUAAUUGACGAAUUCGAUCCCCGGUUCAAGAUUUGUGAUAUAUAAAAGUUAGGUGAUAACGGAGGAAAGAUUAAUGAAUGGUAACAGAGGGAAAGAGAUGAAAUGGGUGAUUGUUUAA